rnacentral:rRNA from 1 species
AGGGCAAGUCUGGUGCCAGCAGCCGCGGUAAUUCCAGCUCCAAUAGCGUAUAUUAAAGUUGUUGCAGUUAAAAAGCUCGUAGUUGAAUUUCGGGGUCUGUCCAUUGGUCGGGCUUCACGGUCCGUACUGGUGAGAUGGGUUCCUACCUUCUGAAUAACCAGCAUGCCAUUUAUUUGGUGCGCCGGGGAAGCAGAGCUAUUACCUUGAAAAAAUUAGAGUGUU